CACGUAGGGUGCGAGCGUUGUCCGGAAUUAUUGGGCGUAAAGAGCUCGUAGGCGGUGUGUCACGUCGGCCGUGAAAACCUGCAGCUUAACUGUGGGCGUGCGGUCGAUACGGGCAUCACUGGAGUUCGGCAGGGGAGACUGGAAUUCCUGGUGUAGCGGUGAAAUGCGCAGAUAUCAGGAGGAACACCGGUGGCGAAGGCGGAUCUCUGGGCCAUUACUGACGCUGAGGAGCGAAAGCGUGGGGAGCGAACAGG
rnacentral:rRNA from 1 species